GCUUCGUGGGGGUUAUAUAGAUAACUUUUUCUUGCAAUGUUUCAUUACACCACCAGUCUUGCUAGGCCUAAACCAACCAGCCUAUACAGCCCUAACUCGGCCUGCAAAAUUCUCUGGUAUUGUUUAGACAUUAUAUCAUUAUUUCACAUAUUGUCACUUAAUUCUUGCACAGUAUUAGCAAUGUUAUAUGUCUUAACUCACCUACAUUGAGACAAUAUAAUCU